GGGCGCGCGUCCCUACCUUGUCUCUGCGGCUCCUCCUUGUGGGUCCGGUUCUUGCCGAGCUUCAUGGCAGAGAACACACUUCUCCCGGCUCUGCGAGGCGGGCCGCCGGAAGACACACACACACAGGACAGCAAAACCCGAGAAAGAACACGCAAGAUAUGGAAGGCUGUGAGUCUGCAUCCCAGUGAAAGAACAACCAAGAACCCUUCCGUGUGCACCACUUUUCAAAGUUUAGAAAACACCAGUGUAUUCAUGGUUUCCUAAAAAGUCAUGAGACUCGCUCUUAAAUCCAUCUGGACAGUGUGCAGUAGAGUGUGAUGUCGUCAGCUCUCCCUGCCCUUCGGAGUUUUCUGAUUGAUGACACUUCAGAAGUUCACCAAUAGAAGCAGCCUCUCCUGCCUAUCACUGCACCACUUCCCAGAAGCAGCAUGCCUGCUUCUCUUGGCAAAGGGUAAAGGUGAUUUUUGAAAUAAAUAUUAACUGAGGCAGGGAUUCUUCAAAGAUUAUCCACUUGAAUUAAAGACUUAGAUUUCCAAAAUGUGUAAUCUAUC